rnacentral:rRNA from 1 species
UAAACGAUGCUAACUCGUUUUUGGUUUUUAGGAAUCAGAGACUAAGCGAAAGUGAUAAGUUAGCCACCUGGGGAGUACGCUCGCAAGAGCGAAACUCAAAGGAAUUGACGGGGGCCCGCACAAGCGGUGGAUUAUGUGGUCUAAUUCGAUGAUACGCGAGGAACCUUACCAAGACUUAAAUGGGAAUUGACAGCUGUAGAAAUACGGUUUUCUUCGGACAAUUUUCAAGGUGCUGCAUGGCUGUCGUCAG